rnacentral:tRNA from 1 species
GGAGAGAUGGCUGAGUGGUCGAAAGCAGCAGGUUGCUAACUUGUCGUACAUGGCAACAUGUACCGUGGGUUCGAAUCCCACUCUCUCCGCCA